rnacentral:lncRNA from 10 species
CCAAAGCUUUCAUUAUCCCCGGACAAGUGCAGGCCCACUUCAGGCCCUGAGGAGUGCUAGCUCAUUCUUUUACUUUGGGCAAAGAGGGCGGCUGUCACUUUCUUGUUCAUGCUGAGGAUUCGGCUCACUCAAGAUAUCUGAUGCCCUUGUGACAGCGUCUGGCUGUCAGAGCUCAUAGACCAUCUGCUGGGACUGCCCUAGGCCCCUCCUUUAGGGCACAGAACGUGGCAAUAAUGUGUCCCAUUUGGCAGCCUGUGUGACAUUUCUUCUUGUAUCUUAUCAGGUGACUCAAAUAAUGAUCAUGCCUGUUGACACUUGGAGCUCUCAAAGGGAAUUCUGAGCAGCAAAGGAAAGGUGACACAGAACUCAAGGGCACUGGCGCUGAGCGCUGCCCAUGCAGCUGGCAAUUAAGCCAUUGCCGAAAACAACAAUAAAACAGAUUUUGGGCAAGUAGGGAAUGGUGGAUUGAAUCCAGUGUGGCAAAAAAGGAAAUGCAAAGUGAGGAAUGUAGUUUCCAGAUAAAUAAAUUAUAUAAUUGUGAU